rnacentral:rRNA from 1 species
UGACCUCGAAUCAGGGGGAC